UGGCGAAGCGGCUGAACCAGCAACUUGGAGGAAUGAAUGGCGAAAGCUAAUUGUACUGAUAUUAUCGAAUAAAAUUCUGGGUGGAAUAUGAUAAUGACAUUAUCUGAUAUUUCUUGACCAAACUACGUGCCAGCAGUCGCGGUAAUACGUUACAGAUAAGUGUUAUUCAUCUUUAUUGGGUUUAAAGGGUACCUAGACGGUAAAUUAAGCCACUAAUUUAUAGAGUUUAAUGUGAUGGGGCUAAGAUGUACUUGGAGAAAUGAAAUUCUGUUAUACCCGCACAGCCAGAGGCGAAAGCAUCUCUUUAUGUAUUAACUGACGUUG
rnacentral:rRNA from 1 species